rnacentral:rRNA from 1 species
UACGUAGGGACCAAGCGUUGUUCGGAUUUACUGGGCGUAAAGGGCGCGUAGGCGGCUUGUCAAGUCACUUGUGAAAUCUCUGGGCUUAACCCAGAACGGCCAAGUGAAACUGACAUGCUAGAGUGCAGAAGGGGCAAUCGGAAUUCUUGGUGUAGCGGUGAAAUGCGUAGAUAUCAAGAGGAACACCUGAGGUGAAGGCGGGUUGCUGGGCUGACACUGACGCUGAGGCGCGAAAGCCAGGGGAGCAAACGGG